UUCGCAAUGCCCGAAAGGGUGACGAAGCGACGCCGCGUGCGGGAAGAAGGCCUUCGGGUUGUAAACCGCUGUCGGGAGUUAAGAAAUGCAAGGGUGUUAACAGCGUCCUUGCUUGACUAAGGCUCCGGAGGAAGCCACGGCUAACUCUGUGCCAGCAGCCGCGGUGAUACAGAGGCGGCAAGCGUUGUUCGGAAUUAUUGGGCGUAAAGAGCACGUAGGCGGCUGUGUAAGUCGGUUGUGAAAGCCUUCCGCUCAACGGGAGAACGGCAUCCGAUACUGCAUGGCUUGAGUGCGGGAGGGGAGAGUGGAACUUCUGGUGGAGCGGUGAAAUGCGUAGAUAUCAGAAGGAACACCGGCGGCGAAGGCGACUCUCUGGCCCGUAACUGACGCUGAGUGUGCGAAAGCUAGGGGAGCAAACGGGAUUAGAUACCCCGGUAGUCCUAGCCGUAAACGAUGGGCACUAAGUAGAGGGGUUUUA
rnacentral:rRNA from 1 species